rnacentral:lncRNA from 1 species
AGGCUGGAAGGUGGAAGCCUGACUCAUUCUGAGCCUAGCCACAGAGGUAAACUCCGGACAUUUUUUUCUUUCAUGUCGCCAAAUACAUCCUUGUCAUUAAAAGACCUUUGAAACUGAGUAAAAUGGCUUUGAAACCUCAGUAGAAUAUGCUCAAACUGUCUGGAGAAGGAUUACGGGACAGCUACCACAGUAGAAGAGAUCAAAUUGCCCUUAAAAAUCUCCAGUCUGAUGUCACAGAGGCAAAAUCUGACUUCACCAAGGUUUAGAGCUUGUCCCUGGGCGUGCGCUAGAAGGCUGCCAUAAGAUGAUGAAACACUCCAGGGACUGCCCUGCUGCCCUGUGACUGUGGCUGCCGAGACCCUGGCAUCACAAAACACAAAAAUGAUUUCAUCCAUAGUCAUCUCCCAGAUGAUUGAUGAGAAUAAGUCAAGAGAAAACAGGGCCUCCUUGCCCCUACCGUGUGCCAUUGCUCAGUCUCGUGCACAUCACGCCAAGCAAUCUCUGGCUAACCGCAGCGGAGUCAACAUUCACAGAGCAUUUGCGUUACUUCCGGGCAGAUUAGGAAU